rnacentral:lncRNA from 10 species
CACAAUCACAACCACUCACACCCACACAAUCACAACCACACUCACACCCACACCCACACAAUCACAACCACUCACACCCACACCCACACAAUCACAACCACACACCCACACAAUCACAACCACUCACACCCACACCCACACACAAUCACAACCACACUCACACCCACACCCACACAAUCACAACCACUCACACCCACACCCACACAAUCACAACCACACACCCACACACAAUCACAACCACACCCACACACAAUCACAACCACACUCACACCCACACCCACACACAAUCACCACUCACACCCACACCCACACAAUCACAACCACACUCACACCCAUACCCACAGACACCCACACCACAAUCACAACCACGCACCCACACUCACAGACACCCGCACCCAUAUGGGGUCUCACUCUGUUGCUCAGGCUAAGUGCAGUGGCACAAUCACGGCUCACUGCAGCCUCCGAGUAGCUGGGACAACAGGGUGAGCAGCACCACGUCUGGUUAAUUUUUUAUUUUUUGUAGAGCCAGAGUCUCACUAUGUUGCCCAGGCCUGUC